AAGCAGAGAUUUAAGCUCGUACCUUUUGCAUCAUGAUUUAGCCAGUGUAACCCAAGCAAAGAGUGCUUUAGUUUGAUAACCCGAAACUAAGUGAGCUACUCCAAGACAGCCUAUUAAUAGGGCAAACCCGUCUCUGUGGCAAAAGAGUGGGAAGAGCUUUGAGUAGAGGUGACAGACCUACCGAACCUAGUUAUAGCUGGUUGCCCGGGAAUUGGAUAGAAGUUCAGCCUCCCGGCUUCUUUCUUCACCUCAGUACUACCCCUCCUGACACCCAUAAGAAACCGCGAGAGUUAGUCAAAGGGGGUACAGCCCCUUUGAAUCAAGACACAACUUUCCCAGGAGGGUAAAGAUCAUAAUAAAUAAGGUAAAAUAUUCUGGUGGGCCUAAAAGCAGCCAUCCCUAUAGAAAGCGUUAAAGCUCAGACAUAUCACCGACCCCCUCUAUCCUGAUCAUUAAAUCUUAUCCCCCUAAUUCUACCGGGCCGUCCCAUGCAAACAUGGGAGUGACCCUGCUAAUAUGAGUAAUAAGAGAGCCUACGCCUCUCUCCUUGCACACAUGUAAAUCGGAACGGACACCCCGCCGAACCUUAACGGUCCCAAACAAAGAGGGUACUGAACAACAGACCAAACAACUAGAAAAACAUUCAAUAGACCAACCGUUAACCCUACACAGGUGUGCCACCAGGGAAAGACUAAAAGAAAGAGAAGGAACUCGGCAAACACAUGAAGCCUCGCCUGUUUACCAAAAACAUCGCCUCUUGCAAAACUGAAAAUAUAAGAGGUCCCGCCUGCCCUGUGAUUAUUAGUUUAACGGCCGCGGUAUUUUGACCGUGCGAAGGUAGCGCAAUCACUUGUCUUUUAAAUGGAGACCUGUAUGAAUGGCAUAACGAGGGCUUAACUGUCUCCUCUUUCAAGUCAAUGAAAUUGAUCUUCCCGUGCAGAAGCGGGAAUAUAACCAUAAGACGAGAAGACCCUAUGAAGCUUUAGACACCAAGGCAGAUCAUGUUAAACACCCCUUAAUAAAGGACCAAACCAAAUGAGUCCUGCCCUAAUGUCUUUGGUUGGGGCGACCGCGGGGAAACAAAAAACCCCCACGUGGAAUGGGAACACCCCCUCCUACAACUAAGAGCUGCAGCUCUAGUCAACAGAAUUUCUGACCAAUAAGAUCCGGCAAUGCCGAUCAACGAACCGAGUUACUUUAGGGAUAACAGCGCAAUCCUCUUUUAGAGCCCAUAUCGACAAGGGGGUUUACGACCUCGAUGUUGGAUCAGGACAUCCUAAU
rnacentral:rRNA from 1 species